ensembl:lncRNA
CCCGCUGCAAGUGCCUGGCUGCCUUCAACUCCGGCGCUGUUUCUAUUUCUGUUGUAGCGUUGCAGUCGCCGUCUGCUAAAACAUUCAUAGCACAGUCCUCUUAGCAUUUGGCUUCUGCGGUAAUGUUUCAAUUUGAAGCACUACCCUACCCAACGCGCCGCGGAGUGAUACUGACAAAUGGCGCGUCAAAUGAUGGGUGACAGACCAGUUAAUCAUGGGCUGCCGUCUCCGGGGACGCGCUGAUUGAGUCUGAUGUAAUGGAUGUUAUUAUGGCCAGUGACAUGACAACUGCGACCUCAUGCACAGUCGUGUUUCCCACAUGACAAUUGUUAAAGCAGGUGCCGAGAAAAUGUGAUAACAGCGGUUUCUCUCACGCUUUUGGAGAGGGGAACAAGCCGAGCUGAAGAGGGUGGGAGAGGAUGGAGAGACUGACAGAGGGAAAUGGCAGUUGCAUAAACCGUCACAGUGAUGAGAUUUUAUCAUUAUGGCUCCAGAUAUGCCAGGGCUGCCUUUAGGCCAUGACAAGGUUUAACGCCCCCAUGAUUCCACAUGAACAGCUUCUACAAGCGCAAUCGUGUCUGGGACCUGAUUGCAAGAAGAAUUGAUUCUUUGAUUCUGACAUGAAUUGAGGGCUGACUCCCAAGAACAAUCAGGUGUUAAAUUGAAUGGAUGAUCUACCACAAACUGUCUCAAGUGCAUCACCCGGAUACAACCAGCUGGUAAAUGGCACACUUUCUCUGAAACACGCACACCUCAGAACAGACAGCACAUUGUCCCUGCAGGGAAUAUCCACACAAAUAGAGCAUCCUGCUGCCCUCACGUCCAUUCAGCCCUUAAGCCAUUAUUUAUCUGUGGCAAGUGCCAUCCUGUGCCAACCUCAAGACUUAUAAAGUGGCCCUGGACAGGACCCUUUUUGUCCUUUGUGAAU